rnacentral:lncRNA from 1 species
GAGAAGCGUGGGGGCCUUGGGAUAGUUCCAGAAUGAGGAUGUGCGUUUCUAGCUGCUUUGCGCCCUCCUCCCCCAAAAAUCUGCUACCACAAUUCCACCCUGGCGGCACGCCCCCAAGACUCCUUUGUCGCCCCAGGGGCGGGACCUGAGCUGUCGAUUUCAGGAGCCCUUCGUGACUUCAAAAGUCCUGGGCACUGUUGCUCAUGAGUGCUGCACAACUGUCGCCCUCUAAAGCCACCUCCAUCCCUCACUGGGCUGGCCUCCUGAGCCUUCGAAGGAAGCCCGGUGCCAGCCAGCCUUCCUGAAAGACCAAGCCCGCGCCAUCCGGCUUCCUCCAGUGGACGCCUGCAGGACCCAGGUGAGACAAGGAACCGGUUGGGGACGCGAGCCAGGGAUCCUGACCGGUUGGGGGCGGCGAGCAAGGGAUCCUGACUUGGGGGCGUUGCCUCCCGGAAUCCAAGCGGCCUUUUGCCCGGGUCUCCCGAGAUGCAUCGAAAUUGAGCUCGUCCACACAGCCCCCUGACUGCGUGGUGCCCUUUUCUGACUUAAAACAUUCCUUGUACCUUUAUUUACACGAUCCAAGUUGCAGUGUGCCUAGAUUUUCCUCCAAGGACAAAAAUGUGAAUAAAGCAAUAUUUUAGCCAAA